UACGUAGGGUGCAAGCGUUAAUCGGAAUUACUGGGCGUAAAGCGUGCGCAGGCGGUGAUGCAAGACAGAGGUGAAAUCCCCGGGCUCAACCUGGGAACUGCCUUUGUGACUGCAUGACUAGAGUACGGGUAGAGGGGAUGGAAUUCCGCGUGUAGCAGUGAAAUGCGUAGAUAUGCGGAGGAACACCGAUGGCGAAGGCAAUCCCCUGGACCUGUACUGACGCUCAUGCACGAAAGCGUGGGGAGCAAACGAGG
rnacentral:rRNA from 1 species